UGAGGGUAGGAGGAGUGAACAUGGCAUUGCAGAGUGCCGGGGAUACCUUGAAUAAACAAUUCAGUCAAGCGACUGACUGCAGGACUCAAGAAAAACUCUAGAAAACCGCACAUGUGGGGAAUAGACGCGGUCAGCCCCAUUCACCUGUCCGUUUUUUUUUUUUUAACAUCUCAAUUGUUCGUAAAGAGAAAUAUCAUAUACGCGUCUCCGACUAUUCCCUGAAUGCAGCAUAAUUUUCAACGGGAUUUUCUUUUUUCACCAUCCGCGCAGUGUUCCCAACCGGUUCGCCUGUAUUCGGCGGAUGCCCUUGUAUGCCCUCGGAAACAGCGGAUAGUGAAGCUGCCCUCUGAGCUCGUGGAACAAAGCAGAAAAUAAAGUUGCUGCCUGCAAAGUGCUGCGGUGGGUGGCUUUAACAUUCCCAUCCACUUUCAGCUCCCACUAACCUUGCUGCGCUCUGACAUCAUCCUGGAACAAUGUCAGAUCCAUGUAGAUGAAUAUAAUUAAACAAGCGCUUAUCAUCCAGCCGGGGAAAGUUUAGUGGCAGGUCAACCAUGUUUGCCUCUCUCUCGGCUGAAGGUCGGACGAGGGUUAGACAGGCAGUUUGCAGGCUGGAAGGUAUGUGAAAGACACAAAACACAGACUAGGCCAACACAAGAACGUUUUCCAGAGCACAAAAAGUCUAUUUUUACACUAGCUCGUUAUUUACAUUGAGCUCUGUCGGGU
rnacentral:lncRNA from 1 species